GACAAUCCCAUUGUCCCACAUCGACCAGUUGAAGAAAGGAGGAGAACGGAGAUGUGUAUAAAACAAUGAGCCCAAAACAAGUAAAAGCAUACCUUUCUCGGCCUUUUGGCUAAGAUCAAGUGUAGUAUCUGUUCUUAUCAGUUUAAUAUCUGAUACGUGGGCCAAUGGCUCACACGAUAUUAAAUUAAUUUCUUUAGGGGGAGGACCCACUACAGUUGCUUGCUACUGGGGCUCUCAAGCGUCGCCCAAGCGUUGCACUAUUGCAUGGGCCUGGCGCACCCCACCAAAACAAGUAAAAUAAUUUCCCAGCCAAGCCAACUAAUGA
rnacentral:lncRNA from 1 species